AAAGAAACCGGUCACACAAGUUGUUCACAAAGUGCCUCCGGAGCCGCGGCUGCACACCAUCAGAAUGACGGAGCUUCAGAGAGGCCGGCGAUACUCCCCGGCACGGAGAAAUGUCGGUGCGACAGGCGAGCCGGCCGUGGGAAACUCCGCGUUGCCGGAUGAUCUGACAGUUACAUGACUGUAUAUGUUUGUUUUUUUUGAAAACUGAAUUUUCUGUAGAGCCUGUUUUGCCGGCGAGAAGCCGUACAGGUGCACGUGGGACAGCUGCGACUGGCGUUUCGCUCGUUCGGACGAGCUGACGCGUCACUUCCGGAAGCACACGGGCGCCAAACCCUUCCAGUGCGCCGUCUGCUCGCGCUCCUUCUCCCGAUCCGACCACCUCGCCCUGCACAUGAAGAGACACCAGAACUAGCAGCACGCACACACAAAGCACUCACUCCAUGUCCCACAGCAGCGAUGAUACAAGCUGCCCGAUGACGCCACAGCCGCUCCUGGUGCUGCUAUCCGGGGCUGAAACGGCCCGACGCGCGUGUUGCUCUUAACCCAAAGUGGGACAAAUCUGAGGUUGUAGAAAGUCGUAGAAAGAUAAUGGGCAGAUGAAGUCCCGGCCCCCCUAAUCUGCAUUUAUACUUGAUAUACAUUUUCUUUUGGAUGAAUAGAAGGGAGAAAAUGUUAAAACAAAAAGGAAAACAGUAGCUUAAAAAAUGUGUCUCCAGUGCAAUUGGACUCUGCAAAAAAAAAAAAACUGCAAACCCGUAAGUCCCUCUAACAUAGAACUGGCUUUGUUUUAGUAUAUUUUUCUUAUAAAGGAGAAGCUUUUGUUUGCAAAACUAGUCAAGCCAAAUCUUUGUUUAACUCCUUGGUUUGUUCAUAUAACUGGAAUAUCCAGGUUUUUUUUUUAACCAAAUCCUUUGGUUUGCACUAGAAUUGUUGUAAGUCUGAGCUUCCCGUUCUCGUCUCACUCACCACUGGAACGAUCGUUAUUAUCACUACUGGACUGCCUGGGAACGCCACACAAGUCCUCGCUGUUCAGAUAUUAAAAAUUGAAGGCAUUUAUACUCUGGAGAGAGGGAAGAUAGCGCAGGAAAAGAAAAAAAAAAAACGAGGGAGGGUUUGAGUGGAAGAGAUUUGAGUUUUUAGCGAGAGGACGUCUGAGGAACAGAGGAAGGUGGACGGCUGCUGGAGAGCAGCAAUUAGGUGGUGAAUGAUUCAUGAUGGCUUUGGAUGGAUUUCCACCCUGUGAAGUGUAAUAGAACCAGUAGAGGCGCAGAAUUCCUUCAGUUUAAACAGAAUUGACCGUGUUUCAAUUAUAAUGCUUCGAUUACUUUACAUCCAUCUCAUCCAGAUUUGUUUUAUGUUUAUUGUGUUCAAAAUGUUUUAACCAAAGCAGCAUCUUCCUCACAAAAACCUUAUUAAGUGCCUCCUUCUAUGAUUCACGUGGUUUUGUGGUAGCAGAGCUGUGAUCAAUUUAGUCCUUUUUUUAAAACACACAUGGUGCUGUUUUUUAUUUCCUAAUCUAUUGAAAUUUUUAUUUCGAUUUCUUGUUUUAAAUGACAAGGUUUACCCAUCAUUCAUUGUGAUUAUUCAUUUUGUGGGACUCUCUGUGGGGGCUUUCACUCUGUGACACAACUAACUUACAAUGGGGCUCAAUCAGUCAGUCAAACAUGGACGUAUAUUUUAUGAAAGGAUAAGAUCACAUUUUUCCAAGUCUUUCUUAAAAGAACAUUCCCACAUGGGCAUUGCAAGUUAUUUGUUGCUGCAAGUGUUCCUCAAGAUCCUUGUUUGACAUUUGACGAGGAUUCGAAGGUGUCAUAAGUCUGUAAUCCAUAAAAGUAGUAUUUAAUCAUUUAAAAAGGUAUGCAUUGUCAAAGAUUUGACUAAAAUGUUAUUUGACAGCAGAUUUGUCUUAUAUCUUGUUAUUGGAUAUUUAACCAAUAAUUUGACGAAUAAUAGUUUUUUUUUCUUUUGUAGAGGCUAAAUAUCAAGUUGUACUUCUUUUACUCUGUUAACUGGCGGAUUACAGCCAAAGCGAGUACACAACUACUGCUGUUUAUUCUCUCCAGACCAGUUGACAGAAACGCGCCUCAUUUGCAUAUCUGUUUUGCAACAUUUCAAAAAAGCAAAAAAUUUGCUUGGCAGUUGCGUGGAAACACGACUGUGUUGAUGUUGAGCUGUUGUGUGUGUUUGUGAAAGCACAAUGAGGGUGUUCAAUUUACUAAAGAGUCAAGACUGACUUUGCAAAGUAAUAAUUUGAGUUUAGUUUAACUAAGAUUCUGCACAACAUCGCCAACGGAUCUCGUCACAAUGAUAUUAGACAUGAGGAACAGUCGCAUCAAUCAAAAGCUCCGCAUGAGAAGAAUGUUUCAGGACACACUUGAGAAAAAUUCCACAUUGUCCUUUUUGAUAUACAUAUAUAUUUGAAUGUCCAUUUUGAUGGUUUGGUUUGGCCUGCACAUAUAACUGUAUUUGUUCCUUCACUGCAGGUAGCAUAAAGAUAAUAUAUCACUGUAAUGUAUCAUGGUAAAUCUGACUAUUUAUUUGAUUGUGUAGAAGUGGGGGUUGUUAGAACAGCCGCCGUUCUCCCCAGCAAAAAUGCCUUAAUGUAAAUAUAUGCACUGUAAAUACCCCCUUCCCUGCCACCCACACCCUCUCUUUUGUUAUUGUUUUGUAAACAAAAGGGCAAAACGAUAAAAAUGCUCUGCAUCCAAAAAAUAUUUGAGCCUUUUUUUCCUUUUUGGUUAUGUUUUCUUGAUGCCAUUGUUUUUAUAUACUGUCCUUCCAACUUAUUUUGUAGAUUUGUUCUUUCUUCCUAGUUAAACGUUCCAAAGACAAAAGUUGUUUUCUCUUCAACUGAGUGAAACCGAUCCCAAUAAAGUCAACUGACACUUUUACAGAUGCGCUC
ensembl:lncRNA